GGCCAGCAGCUGCUGCAGGGAGGGGGCUGCUUCUCCCCAGUGUCGGAGCUCAUCGGGCGGGCAGAGGCCGCCGCGUCGGCGGACGCCUCGGAGAUCUCGGAGACGUCCUCCGCCGCCGCCGAUGCACUCAGCUCUGUCAUCGCGGCCAUGGUGCGCGCGCCGCCCAAGGACUUCCGCGUCAUCAGGCAGGAGUGGGCGGCCAUCCACAUCCAGACCACCUUCCGCGGCUUCCUGAUUCCAUUUGACUCUGGUUGUUACCGCUACAGUUUGUUGUUGGAUGAUGUAAGUUCUGAUCUGUUUUACCCAUGUGCAUAUUUGGUUUCUCCUUUAUUCUUAUGCUUAUAUUGCCCCAUCAAAUGUGUAAUUUGUUGCCCGCAACUGACACGUAAAUGCUCUCUCAGGUGUCGGAGCAGCAGCGAGCAA
rnacentral:rRNA from 1 species